rnacentral:lncRNA from 12 species
GGGGUCUGGAGUUACUGCAUCAACCUCAUUGAAUUUCAGCAUAAACCAGAGUCCCAAAGACUCCUCAGGAACAUGAAAUCCGAGGCACAUGGUAGAAGUAACAAUCGUGGCACCAUCUGUAGGAGCAGACCCUCCGUGUGAAGCUCAGCAUCGCGGGCAAACAACUCAGAAUGGCACUGGGACUCGCAAGGGAAGGUAGAAACAUCAAAUGGACAGACAAGUAUUUUAGACAGAUGACAAACGAGCCGAACGAGGUGAUCAUUUAACCCACUGAUUUCAGCAUUUUGAAAAGUAUUUAAACAGAAUACAGUAAAUGACGAAAGAAGUCAUGGUUUCUCCUGUCGCUAUAAAGCAGUAAAAGGGUGAGAAAUAAGUCCCCUAUAACGAUGUUAAAUGGGGCAGCCCCGUUGGCUCAG